UAAGGAAUAUUGGACAAUGGAGGCAACUCUGAUCCAGCCAUGCCGCGUGAAGGAAUAAGGCCCUAUGGGUUGUAAACUUCUUUUAGACGGGACAAAACCCCUUUACGUGUAAAGGGUUGAUGGUACUGUCGGAAUAAGCAUCGGCUAACUUCGUGCCAGCAGCCGCGGUAAUACGAAGGAUGCAAGCGUUAUCCGGAAUUAUUGGGUUUAAAGGGUGCGUAGGCGGACUAAUAAGUCAGUGGUGAAAGCCUGCAGCUUAACUGCAGAAUUGCCAUUGAUACUGUUAGUCUUGAGUACAGUUGAGGUAGGCGGAAUGUGUCAUGUAGCGGUGAAAUGCUUAGAUAUGACACAGAACACCGAUCGCGAAGGCAGCUUGCUAAGCUGUAACUGACGCUGAGGCACGAAAGCGUGGGGAGCAAACA
rnacentral:rRNA from 1 species